AUUGAACGCUGGCGGCAUGCUUUACACAUGCAAGUCGAACGGCAGCACGGGCUUCGGCCUGGUGGCGAGUGGCGAACGGGUGAGUAAUGCAUCGGAACGUGCCGUGUAGUGGGGGAUAACGUAGCGAAAGCUGUGCUAAUACCGCAUACGAUCUCUGGAUGAAAGCGGGGGACUCGCAAGGGCCUCGCGCGAUUGGAGCGGCCGAUAUCAGAUUAGGUAGUUGGUGGGGUAAAAGCUCACCAAGCCGACGAUCUGUAGCUGGUCUGAGAGGACGACCAGCCACACUGGGACUGAGACACGGUCCAGACUCCUACGGGAGGCAGCAGUGGGGAAUUUUGGACAAUGGGCGCAAGCCUGAUCCAGCCAUGCCGCGUGAGUGAAGAAGGUCUUCGGAUUGUAAAGCUCUUUUACCAGGGACGAUAAUGACGGUACCUGGAGAAUAAGCCCCGGCAAACUUCGUGCCAGCAGCCGCGGU
rnacentral:rRNA from 1 species